UAAUGUGAAAACAUUUCAAGCAACAGUUCUUAAAGGGGUUGUCCGGGAUUGGGGACAUUGGUGUAAUAGUACUAGAGUGACAGACAUAAUACAUACAUGUCCUACCUUUGCCACAUAUUUCUGAAGCCCCGUUUUCAUAUAGGAAAUUCUUAGCCGGAAGUGACUGUUUUCU